rnacentral:rRNA from 1 species
AUGGGAUCAAUGCUUAGGCGCAUAAGGAAAAGGCUGGAUGGGUUAAGCAGGAAGUAUGACAACAACGAUAAUCAUCCAAUAUCAUCUGAUGAAGAAACAUUGCAAGCACGCAAGUGCAGGGACACUCCUCUCCAUCCGGAGCUAAACAAUAACGGUGUCCGUGCUGGUGAGGCUGAACUUCUAGAUGACUUGAGUGAGCCUGAGCUGGAUGACCGUGAACAUACUGAACAACGGAUCAUCGACGACAGAGACAUGUCUGAACCUGGGGACAGGUCAGGUGCUUCUUUCAGCCAGAAGGCCAGUUUGAAAAGAAGACACAAAAAUGGUAAUUGA